GACGAACCGUGCAAACGUUGUUCGGAAUCACUGGGCUUAAAGGGCGCGUAGGCGGGCAAGCAAGUCGAAGGUGAAAUCCCACGGCUCAACCGUGGAAGUGCCCCCGAUACUGCUUGUCUUGAGGGAGAUAGGGGCGUGCGGAACUUCCGGUGGAGCGGUGAAAUGCGUAGAUAUCGGAAGGAACACCGGUGGCGAAAGCGGCGCGCUGGAUCUCUUCUGACGCUGAGGCGCGAAAGCCAGGGAGCAAAGCGGG
rnacentral:rRNA from 1 species